UGCUAACUUUAGAAGGUCAGUCUGCUCGCAGAAGCACAUGGGGUCAACCAUAAAGAUCAUUUCCUCAUCAAGAUGUCUCUCGCUGAAAUGAAGACAUGAACUGACACAUUUGGUGGAAACUGUGGAGCAAAGAUUAGGCUGUGUGUGAGACUAUCUUCAGGAGCCUUGCCAAGCUGAAGUCCCUGCAGGGUGAUGUUUAAUUCUGCUCCACACCUCAGCCACCUUUUGGAAAGACUAAUACAAUUUGCUGGCACACACCAUCUGACAACAAGAAUGAGGUGUGCAAAAACACAGCAAUCCUUUGAUAGCGCACGGAAGGAAGGAUUUCUCCCAUCUUAUGUCUGACUAACAGUGGAAAGUAAUAUCUGAUGAAACAAGGAAAGCUGCCUAGGAUGGAGAGUUGAGAAAGAUCCUGAAUCUACCUAAGGGCUCAGCAAGAAACUCUCCUGUGAUGAGGAGUGGGAGAGAGGAGGAGACAACAUAACUACCCGUCAUCACUACAUGGGGAGUGGACUUCCUCUAGCCAGCGUCCAAGGGAACAAGUGAACUGAGUGCUGGUCUCUGCAAAAACGGGGUGGAUUUGUGUCUGCAGGAAUCAUCAAAGUAAGAACACAGUAAGCACCAUAGACAUGUAAGGGUGAAGCAUUGUUUAGGCCACCCAGAGAGUUACAAGAUCAGAGAAAGUGAGCUUGGCAGGCCAGAAGUGGGAAGACUCUCAGACUCAUGGCCUUUUGGAAGCCAGGGAUGACCUUGACAGGACACACUCAGAAGGAGAACUAGACUAUAGCCUGGGAACAGGAACAUAUGAGGCAGAUGGUGAAGGAAACAUCAAUUGCCAAUAUGAAGUGGAUCUCUCACUGAUGACUCCAAUGUUCACUGACUGCCAACCUUGUCUAGGCACCAGGCACUGUGUGAGGUAAAACCACACCUGGUACCUGUACUCUGUCAGCUCACCCAGGGAGACGAACAUGAAUCCAAUACCAACAAGAAUAAUUCUGUGACAAGCAACUUCGAACAGUAACAUAAAGAAAUGCUCCAUGGGUUCUACAAAAACCUAGGACACCAGAUUGCCAAUGUCUAGGAGUCCGCUGUCCCUACAGCCGAGGAGGAGACUUAUCCCCUUACCUGAAGGGAGAAGGGGAAGUGAACACUGAUCCACACCCACAGCAUGAGAGGCCUCAUGAACCUCUGCACUUGAAACUCUUCAAGAACAAAAUAGAUG